AAAGCGUGCGCAGGCGGUUUGUAAGACUGUCGUGAAAUCCCCGGGCCUCAACCUGGGAAUGGCGAUGGUGACUGCAAGGCUAGAGUUUGGCAGAGGGGGGUAGAAUUCCACGUGUAGCAGUGAAAUGCGUAGAUAUGUGGAGGAACACCGAUGGCGAAGGCAGCCCCCUGGGUCAAAACUGACGCUCAUGCACGAAAGCGUGGGGAGCAAACAGGAUUAGAUACCCGAGU
rnacentral:rRNA from 1 species